UCACAUAUCAGUAUACAGAUUCUGUUUCAGUCCUGAUAGAGCAAGCAUUGUAUGUGAUAGUGAGAUUCCUCAAGACACAAAUAUACUUUAUGAAUAUUCCUGUUUUCUCUGCAAGACUGUUGGGAUCUAAAUAACUGACAACAUUUCAGCCUGCAGACAUAAAUUGAUUCAACUUAACAAAUUAUCCCACGACAUUCUGGACUACUGUUUCACCCUUCAUGUCUGGAGCUACUCAGGAGGAAGAAAAAAAAAAAAAAAGACUGGCAAG
rnacentral:lncRNA from 1 species